AUGGGUUGUAAACUGCUUUUCUGAGGGAAGAAUAAGAUCGAUUUGUUCGGUCGAUGACGGUACCUCAGGAAUAAGCAUCGGCUAACUCCGUGCCAGCAGCCGCGGUAAUACGGAGGAUGCAGGCGUUAUCCGGAUUUAUUGGGUUUAAAGGGUGCGUAGGCGGGCUGUCAAGUCAGUGGUGAAAUCUUUCGGCUUAACCGGGAAACUGCCAUUGAAACUGACAGUCUUGAGUCAGGUAGAGGUAGGCGGAAUGUGUAAUGUAGCGGUGAAAUGCUUAGAUAUUACACAGAACACCGAUUGCGUAGGCAGCUUACUGGACCUGCACUGACGCUGAUGCACGAAAGCGUGGGGAGCGAACAGGAUUAGAUACCCUGGUAGUCCACGCCGUAAACUAUGAUUACUCGUUGUUGGCAAUACACCGUCAGCGACCAAGCGAAAGCGAUAAGUAAUCCACCUGGGGAGUACGCUCGCAAGAGUGAAACUCA
rnacentral:rRNA from 1 species